rnacentral:tRNA from 2 species
UGAGGCGUCGUCCAAUGGCAGGACAACGGACUUUGGAUCCGUCUAUGGAGGUUCGAAUCCUCCCGCCUCAG